AGCACAGACACAAGAAGCCCAUCAGAGGAUGUACUGCAGAAGAUGAGGACAUGAAAGAGAAGAAAAGGGCUAUUGAUCAGCAGCUGUGGAGGCACAUUCUGCCCCUCUGCAUGUGGAAUAAGUAAUUGACAUUCAGAUGAACCUGGGAGGAAUGGGAAGCAGGUGGCCAGGUGUAUGUAACAGUGCCCCUUCUUGAAGCCACCCAAUUCCACUGAUUCAUCAAGAGCUCAAUGGGCUCCACAGUGUCCCUUCUCUUCAAAGUUUCAUAUGUUGAGCAGCUACCUGAUUUGGUCCUGUCUCCAGCCCUGCCUCCUGUGAAUACUUGAACCUAUAGAAGAUACCAUUGAUGACCUUGGGGAACUUAAAAUCCCAUGUAAGAAAACAGCCAAGAAAGGAUCAAGAUAUUUGGAUAU
rnacentral:lncRNA from 1 species